GCCUUAUCAACUUUCGAUGGUAGUUUAUGUGCCUACCAUGGUUGUAACGGGUAACGGAGAAUAAGGGUUCGACUCCGGAGAGGGAGCCUGAGAAACGGCUACCACAUCCAAGGAAGGCAGCAGGCGCGCAAAUUACCCACUCUCGGCACGAGGAGGUAGUGACGAAAAAUAACGAGACGGAUCUCUUUGAGGCCCGUUAUCGGAAUGAGAACAAUUCAAAUCCUUUAACGAGGAUCUAGCGGAGGGCAAGUCUGGUGCCAGCAGCCGCGGUAAUUCCAGCUCCGCAGGUGUAUAUCUAUGCUGCUGCGGUUAAAAAGCUCGUAGUUGGAUCUGCGUGCUCGGAACCGGUUGGCUCACUGAGUUUAAACUGGUCUCCGGCGCUUUAUCGGCUGGUUUUCCCUUGAUGCUCUUAACCGGGUGUCUUGGGUGGCUAGCACGUUUACUUUGAAAAAAUUAGAGUGCUCAAUACAGGCGCAAAGCCUUGAAUAGUGGUGCAUGGAAUAAUAGAAUAGGACCUCGGUUCUAUUUUGUUGGUUUUCGGAACGCGAGGUAAUGAUUAAGAGGGACAGACGGGGGCAUUCGUAUUGCGACGUUAGAGGUGAAAUUCUUGGAUCGUCGCAAGACGGACGACUGCGAAAGCAUUUGCCAAAGAAUGUUUUCAUUAAUUCAAGAACGGAAAGUUAGAGGUUUCGAAGGCGAUCAAAUACCGCCCCUAGUUCUGACCGUAAAUGUACCCUCGUCUCGAAAAUUAAAACCAUCUUCCCAUCAUGAUAUUGAAUUGUUCCAGAAUGAAUUUGGAUGCCUUCCAUCCCUGAUUGUAUGGAAAAUUCCUUUAAACAGUCGCCAAUGACGGAAGGGCACCACCAGGAGUGGAGCCUGCGGUUUAAUUUGACUCAACACGGGAAAACUCACCCGGCCCGGACACCGUAAGGAUUGACAGAUUGAGAGCUCUUUCUUGAUUCGGUGGGUGGUGGUGCAUGGCCGUUCUUAGUUGGUGGAGCGAUUUGUCUGGUUUAUUCCGAUAACGAACGAGACUCUGGCCUACUAAAUAGUGGGCGGAUUCUUUCUGUCCGCAACACUUCUUAGAGGGACAAGCGGUCUCAAGCCGCACGAGAUUGAGCAAUAACAGGUCUGUGAUGCCCUUAGAUGUCCGGGGCUGCACGCGCGCUACACUGAAGGAAUCAGCGUGCUUUCUGACCUUGCCCGAAAGGGCUGGGUAACCCGAUGAAAAUCCUUCGUGCUUGGGAUAGGGACUUGCCAUU
rnacentral:rRNA from 1 species